rnacentral:rRNA from 1 species
CGUAGGGGCCAAGGCGUUGUUCGGAUUUACUGGGCGUAAAGGGCGCGUAGGCGGCGAAUCAAGUCAGCUGUGAAAUCUCCGAGCUUAACUCGGAACGGUCAGCUGAUACUGUUUUGCUAGAGUGCAGAAAGGGCAACCGGGAAUUCUUGGUGUAGCGGUGAAAUGCGUAGAUAUCAAGAGGAACACCUGAGGCGAAGGCGGGUUGCUAGGCUGACACUGACGCUGAAGCGCGAAAGCUAGGGUAGCAAACGGGAUUAGAUACCCCGGUAGUCCUAGCCCUAAACGAUGUAUGCUUGGUGUCUGGAGUUUUUAUCUCUGGGUGCCGUCGCUAACGCUUUUAGCAUACCGCCUGGGGAGUACGCACGCAAGUGUG